rnacentral:rRNA from 1 species
UACAGGGGGGGCAAGCGUUAUUCGGAAUUACUGGGCGUAAAGGGUUCGUAGGUGGCCAACUAAGUCAUACGUGAAAUCCCUCAGCUUAACUGGGGAACUGCGUCUGAUACUGGUUGGCUUGAGUGCAGGAGAGGAACGCGGAAUUCCAGGUGUAGCGGUGAAAUGCGUAGAUAUCUGGAGGAACACCGGUGGCGAAGGCGGCGUUCUGGACUGCAACUGACGCUGAGGAACGAAAGCCAGGGGAGCAAACGGG